rnacentral:tRNA from 1 species
GGUGAGGUGGAUGAGUGGCUGAAAUCAACGGUUUGCUAAACCGUCGUACGGGUCAAACCGUACCGGGGGUUCGAAUCCCCCCCUCACCGCAA